UUCGUGCGUGAACGACGGCCGCUUGUGAAAAGUUAGUGCGACGCCGUGUUUCGUCUACGUAAGAUACCACUUUCACAAGAACAAGAAGGUUAUAAGUACGAAGAGCGUGCCGUGCGGUGGUUUAACUGCAAGGACGUUGACGACUUCACCCCUGGGGAUGUCUUCAGUGCUUACUGGGAGCGGCGAUGAGAAGACCAAAGUCGGCUCUACGACACCGUGCUUCUGCAUAUGACAGUCCAAACAAGAAAUGGACCAAUGUUUCAAUGCAUACGGAACAAAAAAAAAAAA
rnacentral:lncRNA from 1 species